rnacentral:rRNA from 1 species
UCAGCUAUACACGACCGUACCGCAAACCGACACUGGUGCGCGAGAUGAGUAUUCUAAGGCGCUUGAGAGAACUCAGGAGAAGGAACUCGGCAAAUUGACACCGUAACUUCGGAAGAAGGUGUGCCCUAUUAGUGUGAAGUGAACAACGGAGCAUGAAUGGGUUGCAAAAAAUCGGUGGCUGCGACUGUUUAUUAAAAACACAGCACUCUGCAAACACGAAAGUGGACGUAUAGGGUGUGACGCCUGCCCGGUGCUGGAAGAUUAAAUGAUGGGGUGCAAGCUCUUGAUUGAAGUCCCAGUAAACGGCGGCCGUAACUAUAACGGUCCUAAGGUAGCGAAAUUCCUUGUCGGGUAAGUUCCGACCUGCACGAAUGGCGUAACGAUGGCCACACUGUCUCCUCCUGAGACUCAGCGAAGUUGAAAUGUUUGUGAUGAUGCAAUCUCCCCGCGGAAAGACGGAAAGACCCCAUGAACCUUUACUGUAGCUUUGUAUUGGACUUUGAACAGAUCUGUGUAGGAUAGGUGGGAGGCUUUGAAGCAGGGUCGCUAGAUCUUGUGGAGCCAACGUUGAAAUACCACCCUGGUGUGUUUGAGGUUCUAACCUAGGUCCAUUAUCUGGAUCGGGGACAGUGCAUGGUAGGCAGUUUGACUGGGGCGGUCUCCUCCCAAAGCGUAACGGAGGAGUUCGAAGGUACGCUAGUUACGGUCGGACAUCGUGACGAUAGUGCAAUGGCAUAAGCGUGCUUAACUGCGAGACUGACAAGUCGAGCAGAUGCGAAAGCAGGACAUAGUGAUCCGGUGGUUCUGUAUGGAAGGGCCAUCGCUCAACGGAUAAAAGGUACUCUGGGGAUAACAGGCUGAUACCGCCCAAGAGUUCAUAUCGACGGCGGUGUUUGGCACCUCGAUGUCGGCUCAUCUCAUCCUGGGGCUGUAGCCGGUCCCAAGGGUAUGGCUGUUCGCCAUUUAAAGAGGUACGUGAGCUGGGUUUAAAACGUCGUGAGACAGUUUGGUCCCUAUCUUCCGUGGGCGCUGCAGAUUUGAGGAAGCCUGCUCCUAGUACGAGAGGACCGGAGUGGACACACCUCUGGUGUAUCGGUUGUCACGCCAGUGGCAUUGCCGAGUAGCUAAGUGUGGAAGAGAUAACCGCUGAAAGCAUCUAAGCGGGAAACUCGUUUCAAGAUGAGAUCUGCCGGGGCCUUGAGCCCCCUAAAGAGUCGUUCAAGACCAGGACGUUGAUAGGUCAGGUGUGGAAGCGCAGUAAUGCGUUAAGCUAACUGAUACUAAUUGCUCGUGCGGCUUGACCCU